UCUGGUCUGUCAUUGGCUUAUUUUCCGAACAGCGCGUUUGUUUAUAAAAUGGCGUAAAGACGGAAGGUUGGCUUUUACGCUACAUUAAAUCAGUUAACGAGCCUUGAUUCAAGUCCUAUUGUCAUAUAAAGACAAGUUAAAGGGAAAGGAAAGCUCUGGGAAGUGAAAAGGCUGAUCACUUUACGCCAAAUUGCCAAAAAAAAGCCUCUAUUACUCGUCUCCAGUCUUACAUGAUGGCCUUUUAGUAUUGGAGCAGAUGGCCUUGUUUAGAGCUGCAGUAGAAGGGUUUAUUUUGUCAAAAUCUAGGUUGCCUGUUUCUUUUAAUUUCAGAGGGGAUUUUUUUCAGGGUUCUUUUCAGAAUAUUUGAUAACAAAUGGUAUUUUAUUGAUAAUGGAAGAUUUCCCACAAUAAGUUUUUUUCCAAUUGGUUGGGACACUGAGUAGCUGAUCGUCAUGGACAAGGACUGAAAGUUUUUUUUAUCCAAGGAAAGUCAAAUUCUUUGUUUCAUUUUCUCCAAAAAAUGUCUAACGAACAAUUAUCUAGAGCUUUCCAGGAAAAAGUAAAAAUCUGUUAUGUAAAAAAUGCACUUAAUGAUGACGAACGGUGAGCAAUAGUCCACUACUUGGGUGAUACUAAACAGUUAAUAUCCACCCUGUAAUCACCUCACCAGGUAUAUAUGUUAAACUUAUGUUA